GCCGAGCUCAAUAACUUUAGCUUGUAACCCAAGUGGGGGCAAUAAUGUGGUGGAAUAUUGGGCUAGUCCAAAAAGGUUGGGCCUGAUGGGCUUAUAUCUGGCCUGCCCUGUCCAAGUACAGAGUUGGGCCUUGUGGUCCAAUCGAAAGAAUGGGCUGAUGGGCUCCUAAAGUUGGGCGGAGCGCGUGAGGCUGGUUUCACAGAGCAACGAACAGUUCCCGCUCUGUACAGUGGAAGGAUAACGAGUCAGUGCCGGCCAGACCCAGUAAGAGCCUCGUGGGUUGCUUCGAUUAAACCACCACUUUU
rfam:Solanum lycopersicum cultivar Heinz 1706 chromosome 9, whole genome shotgun sequence.